rnacentral:rRNA from 1 species
GAUGAACGCUGGCGGCGUGCCUAAUACAUGCAAGUCGAGCGAACGGACGAGAAGCUUGCUUCUCUGAUGUUAGGGGAGGACGGGUGUGUAACACGUGUAUAACCUACCUAUAAGACUGGUAUAAUUUCGGGAAACCGGAGCUAAUACCGUAUAAUCUUUUGAACCGCAUGGUUCAAAAGUGAAAGACGGUCUUGCUGUCACUUAUAGAUGGAUCCGCGCUGCAUUAGCUAGUUGGUAAGGUAACGGCUUACCAAGGCAACGAUGCAUAGCCAACGUGAGAGGGUGAUCGGCCACACUGGAACGGAGACACGGACCAGACGCCUACGGGAGGCAGCAGUAGGGAAUCUUCCGCAAUGGGCGGAAGCCUGACGGAGCAACGCCGCGUGAGUGAUGGAGGUCUUCGGAUCGUAAAACUCUGUUAUUAGGGAAGAACAGAUGUGUAAGUAACUGUGCACAUCUUGACGGUACCGAAUCAGAAAGCAACGGCUAACUACGUG